AAAUUAAAUAACCUGGUGAAAGAAUGGAUACGAGAAAUCAGUGAAAGCAAGAAUCUUCCACAAUCUGUAAUUGAAAAUGUUGGAGGAAAAAUUUUUACAUUUGGAUCCUACAGACUAGGAGUACAUACGAAAGGUGCUGAUAUUGAUGCGUUGUGUGUUGCACCAAGACAUGUUGAUCGAAGUGAUUUUUUCACCUCAUUCUAUGAUAAAUUGAAAUUACAAGAAGAAGUGAAAGAUUUAAGAGCUGUUGAAGAGGCAUUUGUACCAGUUAUCAAACUCUGUUUUGAUGGAAUAGAGAUUGAUAUUUUGUUUGCAAGAUUAGCACUGCAGACUAUUCCAGAAGAUUUGGACCUACGAGAUGACAGUCUGCUUAAAAACCUAGAUAUAAGAUGCAUAAGAAGCCUUAAUGGUUGCAGGGUAACCGAUGAGAUUUUACAUCUAGUACCAAACAUUGACAACUUCAGGUUAACUCUGAGAGCCAUCAAACUGUGGGCCAAACGGCACAACAUCUAUUCCAAUAUAUUAGGUUUCCUCGGUGGUGUUUCCUGGGCUAUGCUAGUAGCAAGAACUUGCCAGCUUUAUCCAAAUGCAAUAGCAUCAACUCUUGUACAUAAAUUUUUCUUGGUAUUUUCUAAAUGGUAUGUUUUUAGAUUAUAUUACAAUAAAAUUGAUUGUAGACACUG
rnacentral:lncRNA from 1 species